ACUGAGUGCAAGGGCUAUGGCUCAAAAUACAGUCAUAGAGAAGGAGCGCAUCAUUUAGAGUAAUCUAAUGGUUAAAAUAUGGGCAUGUACUGCAUAGAUUAAUUUCUUUUCAAAAUGGUUUUAUAUGAUAUUUAAUAUUUUGAUUAUGCUUCAGCCAUUAAUUUUCUCAAUUGAGUUUUUGCUAUUAUACUUUACAUACUCUUCAUCAGAAAGUCAACUCCUUGUUCGUUGGUUUACUUAAAGCAAAUCGUAUAUAACAUCCCUGAUUCAAAAUGUUGGUUGACAGGAACUCUUGUACCACACCAUCAACUGUUUGUCAAAGACCAAAGUUAGCAAAUUAUACACCUCCUGGCCCUAACCUCUAUAAAAUAAUUAUGCUAUCCUCAUCAGUUAUUAAAAUAAUUGAAAGCUUUUCAUCAAAAGUAUUUUGUAGUAUAAUCUUUACGAAUUCCACUUACCAUUAAAAUCAACCAAUCCCUAAAGAAUAAAGCUCUCUCAACUCUUUCUUUGUUGUCUCUCUCGCACACAUCUCUGUGACUCGUCUCUUCUUCUUUAUUUGGUUCCAACAUAAAUCAACCAAACUCAAUAUCAUAGAAUCUCAAGAGACCAAUUGCCUUUUUAGAACGACACCAGUUCAGGUGACUACAAUCCACAUCGUUAAGAUUGUAUAAUUUCUCGAUUCUCUUUCCUUUCUUUUAUUUUGACAAAUGGGAAAUGGAGUCACCACUUUGAGCGUCUGUUGUACCGGAACUGUCGCCGGCGUAAUUACCCGGCGAUACGAUGUAUCUCUGGUUCUCGAAGGACUUGGCCAGUCAAUCUGCUAUAUACGACCGAAUCUCACCGGAGUAGCAUUACCUUCUUCUAUGCCGGGGAUUCCUCUCCGACCAGAACCUAUCUGAGAAACCACCACCACCCUUUCGGUUCAAUCUCCGGCGCAUCGGUCAGCGAAAAUCCAUCCACCGCUCUCUCCGGAGCUCUAUUGUCGGAGGCCGAUCUUCCGUACAGCCCCGCCGUCACCGCCUCUGCAUUCGAGAGCUCCGGUUAUCUCGCCUCUCUUCCUCUCCAGCCGCGUGGCGCCACGUGGCAAUCAGGUCCGAUUGCCAACGAAUCGGGUCACUGGUUGGCUCCGUUUGAGCAGCGAUUCUUAUCGGGUCCGACUGCGAUAAGCCCGGAGAUGGGGUUAUCGGAAGAAUAGGAUUAGAGGAGAAGAGAUAGAAAAAAGAAAGGGGAGAAGGUGAUAAGCCGGUGACUUAUCUGAAGAAAUGAGGGAGAAGAAGAAGAGAAUAAACGAGAGAAGGAAUAGAGUUUGUUUGAUAUUGAUCUUAAUUUGAUGAUUCG
rnacentral:lncRNA from 1 species